GGACGUGACUGAAGAGGCAAAGCAUAGAGUGAGAGCUGGAGAAAGACCAGAAGCGCAGAACUGAUGCAGAGUCCGCCACCCCCUCGGCCUUGCCUGGAUGAAUGUGAGAUGCUCUGUUACGACUUCUUUAAAAACAUUUUUCCCCAUUUUAUUCUGUUCCUUGAGGAACACUUGGAAAACCCAGAAAAAGUGAAAGGAGAAAAGAAUCACUCAUGGCCCCUACUCAGCUGAGGACAACCGCUCUAAACGUUGGACACAUUUUCCUCCCAACUUUUACUGAAGUUAAACGUGCAUGUCUGAAAUAAUUCGAAAAGACGAACGUAGAUACCAAAAACAGAAGAAGGAAUGAAGUGGAAUAAAACUAGCCGUUUUCUUCACGAGACCGUCCCUUCUCCGUACUGCUGUUUGGUUUUACUGCCUUCUUUUCUCCCUGGGCUUCCCUGACGAAACAACCACUUUUUCCUUCCUCAGAGUGCUUCCAGACUCUUCCUCUUGCUGUCAACGGGAGAAGUUUAAGUAGAAUUCACUAUUGUUUUGAAAUCUUCUACUGUUUAUGCUGUAAUAUCCCACCGCAGGCAUGACACAAAUGACACUGACAAAAAAGAGGAGAUGCUUCGAAAGGGGUGAGACAAAUCCCAACCUUAAGGACUGACGAGUGGCCAAUGGUUAUCAACUGAAAAGUAUCAAGCACCUACUUGAAACCAUUCAGAUUUGUACUCUUUGGGAAUGGCGCCCCCUGGAGAUCAACAGUGAUGAUGCACAGUCGUUUCGUACCUACCUGAAUUGCCAAGCCCUUUUCAACUAAGUUCCCCACAGGCGUGUUGAGGGUUGAAGUGUAGGGGAGUCCUAGCCAUUUCUGAGUACUUAGCUUACUGCUUGGCACAGGUAAGUACUCUACAAAUGUCUAGUGAAUGAAAAAAGUAAUGACUUUGCCUCUAGCCAAUAAUAAUUACGGCUGUCAUUUAUUGAGCACUUACUCUGUACUGGGCACUGUACGUACUACGUUUCAACUAUAAUUUGCCAACACCAACUGGAUGACCUAUAGUUCAGUCUGAUUCUAACACUCACUACUGGAGUUAGCAUAGACACUGCCAAAUAAGGUCAAGGGCUUUCAUUUCUGACACUAACUACCUGGAAUUAAUACAGAUCCUCUAAAGUAAGGACUCAGUCCCUCACGACUGUCCGCACUUCAGAUGACCGCUGCAAGUCUCAGGUAUCCCCAGGCUACCUGUACUUACGCCUGUUGGACUACACCUUUAGGGCUUCCCACGAUCUGGUCUCCCAUAUUCAAUGAUUCCCUCGAAUGACUUACAGAACUCAGGAAAGCUCUUUACUUAUGACUACCUUCCCUAGUCCCUCCAGGGGUGCCAUCCUCCCAGCUAGUUGAUUCUUUCAUCAACCAGGAAGCUCCCAGAGCCUCCCUGUUUCAGACUUUUUAUCUAGGGCUUUGUUAUAUAAGCAUAAUUGAGUAAAUCAUUGACCACUUGAUUGAACUCAAUCUCUAGGAGGGUGUGGCUGAAAGUUCCAGCCCUUCGAUCACAUGCUUGGUCUUUCUGGCAGGCCAGCCCCUUCCUUAUAACAAUCUCAAAGCUCACCUUAAGUUACCUCAUGAAUUAGAAUAAAUUGAAAUACAGAGGAAAGGGGCUCAUUGUGAAUAAUAAAAGACACUUUGAUCUCUCCAGGAAUUACCAGAGUUUUUGAAACUCUGUGCCUGGAACUGGGCACAAAGACACAACAUUUUGUAUUAUACCACACAUUUUAUCAUAUGAGAACUCUUUGAAGUAGGUAUCAGUGUCAUCUGCAUUUUACAGGUAAGGAAACCAAGGCUUACGCUCAGAACUAUGCUGCCUCUCUAGCCCAACCUUCUCCCAGUCCAUUUUAUUUCCAAAUUAAUCUACAUUAAAUAGAGUUUUCAUCGCAUUACUUCAUCCAAAAACAAAAUCUUUACUGCUGUCUAUCACAUAAUAAAAUUCUACUCUUCAGGGUUCUCUAAAA